AAAUAUCCACUUAAAGACAUUACAAACAGAGUGUUUCCUAACUGCUCUAUGAAAAGAAAGGUUAAACUCUGUGAGUUGAACGCACUCAUCUCAAAGGAGUUUCUGAGAAUCAUUCUGUCUAGUUUUUAUACGAAGAUAUUUCCUUUUCUACCAUUGACCUCAAAGCGGCUGAAAUCUCCAUUUGCAAAUUCCACAAAAAGAGUGUUUCAAGUCUGCUCUGUGUAAAGGAUCGUUCAACUCUGUGAGUUGAAUACACACAACACAAGGAAGUUACUGAGAAUUCUUCUGUCUAGCAGAAUAUGAAGAAAUCCCGUUUCCAACGAAGGCCACAAGAUGUCAGAAUAUCCACUUACAGACUUUACAAACAGAGUGUUUCCUAACUGCUCUAUGAAAAGAAAGGUUAAACUCUGUGAGUUGAACGAACACAUCACAACGCAGUUUGUGGGAAUGAUUCUGUCUAGUUUUGAGAUGAAGAUAUUUUCUUUUCUGCCAUUGACCCUAAAGCGCUUGAAAUCUCCACUUCCAAAUUGCACAAAAAGAGUGUUUCAAAUCUGCUCUGUCUAAGGGAAAGUUCAACUCUGUGAGUUGAAUACACACAACACAAGGAAGUUACUGGGAAUUCUUCUGUCGAGCCUUACAGGAAAAAAACCCGUUUCCAACGAAGGCCUCUAAGUGCUCAAAAUAUCCACGUGCAGACUUUAAAAAAAGAGUGUUUCCAAACUGCUGAAUGAAAAGAAAAGUUAAACUCUGAGAGUGGAACGCACACAUCGCCGAGCAGUUUCUGGGAAUGAUUCUGUCUAGUUUUUAUACGAAGAUAUUCCCUUUUCUACUAUUGACCUCAAAGCGGCUGAAAUCUCCACCUGCAAAUUCCACAAAAAGAGUGUUUCUAAUCUGCUCUGUGUAAAGGAUCGUUCAACUCUGUGAGUUGAAUACACACAACACAAGGAAGUUACUGAGAAUUCUUCUGUCUAGCAUAAUAUGAAGAAAUCCCGUUUCCAACGAGGGCCUCAAAGAGGUCUGAAUAUCCACUUGCAGACUUUACAAACAGAGUGUCUCCUAACUGCUCUAUGAAAAGAAAGGUUAAACUCUGUGAGUUGAACGCACUCAUCACAAAGGAGUUUCUGAGAAUCAUUCUGUCUACUUUUUAUACGAGGAUAUUUCCUUUUCUACCAUUGACCUCAAAGCGGCUGAAAUCUACACUUGCAAAUUCCACAAAAAGAGUGUUUCAAGUCUGCUCUGUGUAAAGGAUCGUUCAACUCUGUGAGUUGAAUACACACAACACAAGGAAGUUACUGAGAAUUCUUCUGUCUAGCAGAAUAUGAAGAAAUCCCGUUUCCAAAGAAGGCCACAAGAUGUCAGAAUAUCCACUUACAGACUUUACAAACAGAGUGUUUCCUAACUGCUCUAUGAAAAGAAAGGUUAAACUCUGUGAGUUGAACGAACACAUCACAACGCAGUUUGUGGGAAUGAUUCUGUCUAGUUUUGAAACGAAGAUAUUUCCUUUUCUGCCUUUGGCCUCAAAGAG
rnacentral:lncRNA from 1 species